GCUGGUAAAAAGGAACCAGAU
rnacentral:miRNA from 23 species